UGUGGCCUUCACACUUGCCUCUUCCUUUACUGACAUCCAUGUUCCUCCUUGGACCAGGGCUCUCUAGAUCUGGCUCAACGGCUUCCACAAUAAAUGUUUCCCAGUUCACAGAAAAUGACCCUCAUGAAAAUCCAUUGCAUGAGUGUUUUCUUAUAACCACCAUCAUGUUUUAAUGACUGGGAAGCUUUGAAAUUUUUUUAAACUCUGAAUUCCUGUUACAGCCACAAACAAGAAAACUCUUGUUCUCCCACUUCUAUCAGAGGGCUGCAUGAUUCUUGUAGGAUGAAAAGUGGGCAGCAGUGUCUGGCUUUUGCCUGGUAAUCGAGCUUCUGUUUCAUUUAAUCUGCAUGACUUCCUCAUUGUAGAGGAUCACUUUCAUUGAGCUGUUGCUGGAUGGGACUGCCUCUGGCCACAGAUUAUUUAGCUGCCAGGGAUUUCAGAGAGCAAAAGGAAAAUUCGGUGUUCUGGCUGCAGUGCAAGUUGUCUGUCAUUGUCUUUUUGUAGAGGCUGUGAAUGUUUGCACUUUGCCAGAAGUUUGUGGGUUCUCUGACAGGAAUCACUGAACAUUGCUUGGACUCCAGAAGAAGGCAGCUCGUUCUCUCAGGCAAUCCACAGUGACCCUCAUUGGCAAUACUGGACACUGUUUUCAAGCAUGUCAUCGCAAAAGACGUCCUCUGAGACACUGUCUGAACCUGAUAUACACCUGUGAGAGGCGAGUCUGUGGUGUGAAAACACUGUUCCAACUUGCUCUUGCUAUUGUCAUGGCUCCUGCCUUUCCCAGAGGGCCACUGCAAGGCCCAGGAGGAAGAGAGGCAGUGAGGUCAAGAGCCCAGCCAUUGUUUGCUGAUGUCAGCCUCUGGGUCUCAGGUAUGAUUCUAUCUCCCAAAGAGCCCUAAACAAUACCAGACAGUAUUCCAAU
rnacentral:lncRNA from 1 species